rnacentral:rRNA from 1 species
UACGGAGGGUGCGAGCGUUGUCCGGAAUCAUUGGGCGUAAAGGGCGCGUAGGUGGCCCGGUCAGUCUUUGGUGAAAACGCGGGGCUCAACCCUGCGUCGGCCAGGGAUACUGCCGCGGCUCGAGCACUGUAGAGGCAGGCGGAAUUCCGGGUGUAGCGGUGGAAUGCGUAGAGAUCCGGAAGAACACCGGUGGCGAAGGCGGGUCUCUGGGCCGAUAUUGACGCUGAGGAGCGAAAGCGUGGGGAGCGAACAGG